CUGAGGGUCUUCAGCAGCUGCCAGACAGGCUGUAGGGUCUUCAGCAGCUGCCAGACAGGCUGUUGGUCUUCAGCAGCUGCCAGACAGGCUGUAGGGUCUUCAGCAGCUGCCAGACAGGCUGUAGGGUCUUCAGCAGCUGCCAGACAGGCUGUAGGGUCUUCAGCAGCUGCCAGACAGGCUGUAGGGUCUUCAGCAGCUGCCAGACAGGCUGAGGGUCUUCAGCAGCUGCCAGACAGGCUGUAGGGUCUUCAGCAGCUGCCAGACAGGCUGUAGGGUCUUCAGCAGCUGCCAGACAGGCUGAUGGUCUUCAGCAGCUGCCAGACAGGCUGUAGGGUCUUCAGCAGCUGCCAGACAGGCUGAUGCAGGCUGAUGUGUUUGGCACUAUGGUGCAGGAGAACUCCCACGUGGUAGGGUGUUACAGGUGAGGGACAGGUGAUGUACAGGUAAGUAAAAGGCAAUUGAAAGCUAAGGUACAAGUAAGUUAAAGGUGAGUUGCAGGUAAGGGUACAGGUAAGUAAAAGGUGAGUUGCUGGUAAGGGUACAGGUAAGUUAAAGGUGAGUUGCAGGUAAGGUACAGGUAAGUAAAAGGUAAGGUGCAGGCACAUAAAAAGGCAUCUCACAGAUAAGGCACUGGUAAGUUAAAGGUGAGUUGCAGGUAAGGGUACAGGUAAGUUAAAGGUGAGCUGCAGGUAAGGGUACAGGUGUACUACGCUCAGCGGUACAGGGCCAUGCUCGGGCUCUGGUACAGGUACAUGUAGGCGUCGCAGAAGAGACGUUUGGCCACGCCCUCCAUUUCCCGGGGCACCUGAGUGGCCAGCUCCGCCGGGCUCAUCUGCAGGUAGCGCUCCACCUCAGGACACAGCUGCACCUGCGGGAUGUUGUACCCGUCCUGGUCUCCUGGCAACCAGGAAAACGCGCGCGUGAGCACGGACAGAGGCAAAGGUAGAGAUGGAGAAACGCGCACGCACACACACACACAACCACACACACACACGCACACACACACACACACCACACACACACACACACACAAACACGCAGGCAAACACACACACACACAACCACACACACACACACACAAACACACAACCACACACACACACACACACACACACACACGCAGGCAAACACACACACACACAAACACGCAGGCAAACACUCGAACGAACACACACUCGCGCACACUCACACGCAUGCACGCACAUGCAAACAUACACACACACAUGCAAACACACACAACCACACACACACACACAGAUGAAUACAAAGACAGGGACAGAGAAAGAGAUGUGCCCCCCCCCCACUCUCACCGACUCGGUCAGCCAUGCUGUCGAAGAAGAGCCAGUCCCCGGGGCGGGGCCCGUAUCGGACGAAGGACACGUAGUGGCUGGUCUCUAUGCACAGCACGGCGAACAGCUGCAGCUUCUCCCGGGGGGGUCCCCACUGCCUGGCCCCCGAGGGGGGGUACCCCUCCGGCAGGCGAAGAUCAGAGGGCCGGUGCAACUUCCUCUGGGGGUGGCUGUGUACCUGCCAAAUAACGACCCCCCCAGCUCUUACACUGACCCCAGUACAGGUGUGUGUCUACCUGCCAAAUAACGACCCCCCAGCUCUUACACUGACCCCAGAACAGGCGUGUGUGUACCUGCCAAAUAACGACCCCCCCAGGUCUUACACUGACCCCAGUACAGGUGUGUGUGUACCUGCCAAAUAACGACCGCCCCAGGUCUUACACUGACCCCAGUACAGGUGUGUGUGUACCUGCCAAAUAACGACCCCCCCAGCUCUUACACUGACCCCAGUACAGGUGUGUACCUGGUACUCAGUAACUAGGGCUGGCAGGUGAUGACCUGUUUUGGACAGGUGAGGGGAGGUGAUGUAAUGUCCGAUAUGUGCUUGGAACAGGUGUGAUCAUUAAGUGUCUAGGUGUGAGCAGGUGAUGUAGCGUUAAGUGUCUAGGUGUGAGCAGGUGGUGUAGCGUUAAGUGUCUGUAGGUGUGAGCAGGCGAUGUAGUGUUAAGUGUCUGUAGGUGUGAGCAGGUGAUGUAGUGUUAAGUGUCUAGGUGUGAG